GAUGAACGCUGACAGAAUGCUUAACACAUGCAAGUCUUUGGCGAAGCUGUGCUUGCACAGCCUAGCCAAGGCGGACGGGUGAGUAACGCGUAAGGAACUUGCCCUGCAGUCAGGGAUAACAGACGGAAACGACUGAUAAGACCUGGUAAAGUCAGGCGGACUCAUGUCCAGCCUGAUGAAAAGAGAUGCUGCAGGAGAGCCUUGCGUCCUAUUAGCUUGUUGGUGGGGUAACGGCCCACCAAGGCGAUGAUAGGUAGCCGGCCUGAGAGGGUGGACGGCCAUAAGGGGACUGAGAUACGGCCCUUACUCCUACGGGAGGCAGCAGUGGGGAAUAUUGGACAAUGGGGGCAACCCUGAUCCAGCAAUUCUGUGUGCACGAUGAAGGUUUUCGGAUUGUAAAGUGCUUUCAGCAGGGAAGAAAAAAAUGACGGUACCUGCAGAAGAAGCGACGGCUAAAUACGUG
rnacentral:rRNA from 1 species